rnacentral:rRNA from 1 species
GGAGUUAGCCGGUGCUUCUUCUGUGAGUGAUGUCCUUCCUGCCGGCUAUUAACCCGCAGGCCUUCUUCCUCACUGAAAGUGCUUUACAACCCGAAGGCCUUCUUCACACACGCGGCAUGGCUGGAUCAGGGUUGCCCCCAUUGUCCAAUAUUCCCCACUGCUGCCUCCCGUAGGAGUCUGGGCCGUGUCUCAGUCCCAGUGUGGCCGAUCAUCCUCUCAGACCAGCUACGGAUCGUCGCCUUGGUGAGCCGUUACCUCACCAACCAGCUAAUCCGACAUAGGCUCAUCCGAUAGCGCGAGGCCCGAAGGUCCCCCGCUUUCCCCCGUAGGGCGUAUGCGGUAUUAGCCUGGGUUUCCCCAGGUUAUCCCCCACUACCGGGCAGAUUCCUAUGCAUUACUCACCCGUCCGCCGCUCGCCACCAGGGAGCAAGCUCCCCGUGCUGCCGCUCGACUUGCAUGUGUUAGGCCUGCCGCCAGCGUUCAAUCUGAGCCAUGAUCAAACUCUGA